rnacentral:rRNA from 1 species
AACGAACGCUGGCGGCAGGCUUAACACAUGCAAGUCGAACGCAUCCUUCGGGGUGAGUGGCAGACGGGUGAGUAACGCGUGGGAACGUGCCCUUCAGUUCGGGAUAACCCAGGGAAACUUGGGCUAAUACCGGAUACGUGCGAGAGCAGAAAGAUUUAUCGCUGAAGGAGCGGCCCGCGUCUGAUUGGCUAGUUGGUGGGGUAAUGGCCCACCAAGGCGACGAUCAGUAGCUGGUCUGAGAGGAUGAUCAGCCACAUUGGGACUGAGACACGGCCCAAACUCCUACGGGAGGCAGCAGUGGGGAAUAUUGGACAAUGGGCGCAAGCCUGAUCCAGCCAUGCCGCGUGAGUGAUGAAGGCCUUAGGGUUGUAAAGCUCUUUCGUCCGGGACGAUAAUGACGGUACCGGAAGAAGAAGCCCCGGCUAACUUCGUGCCAGCAGCCGCAGUAA